UACCACGACCAUACAGAUUUAUGUAUAUUCUGUUUGUUUCUUUUAUUACUUGUGUGUGGAUAAAUAAAAAUAUAUCCUAUUCUAUUCUACUCCUGCCAGCUGGUGUGACUGUAACACUUUUAAGUCGGAUUUAUAUUUAUCUGACGUGUCGUGUCGUGACGCGUCAGAACAGAAUCGGUAUCAUACCUUUUGUAUGGUAACGUUUGCUCUUAGGGCAUAAACUGCGUUACGCGUGUGUACGCACGUGAGCACGUCGCGGGCCACGCUUCUGGUGCACGCACGUGAGCACGUUCGCGUGCUUAUGCGCGGGCAUCGGCGCGUGCAUCCGCGUCGCAGUUUUCUCAGUACAAUUUUGACGUUGGAGGUGUACAGUCGAGUAAUUAUGGAUAAAUUAAUGUUGUAUUAUUUAUCAAGACGACGGCGACGACGAAUUGCCAAAAAAAGACGCCAGCCAGUAAGCCCGUACGUUGAAUCUAGGUUACUGUGCGGGGAAUUCGUGGUGAAGUUUGGUAUAUUAAGAGAAAAUGAAAGGUUUUUUUUCAAAUAUUUUAAAGUUUCAUUACAAGUCUAUGAUGAAUUAUAUUCAAAACUGGAGCCCUAUUUGAAGACUAACAAUCUACGAUUGAAAUCUACGUCAAUCGUAUCACCAAUGGAACGAUUUGCAAUGACAUUGCGGUAAGUAAAGACAUUUCGAUAUUAAUAAUCAUCUUUAUUCAUGUAAAAAACAGUCAUUAUUUAACAAAAGUUUAGAACACUCAUAUUUUUUUGCCAAUUUAUGUAAGUCACAUUACUGUUUAGCCACAUCAAGCAAGAAAGAAGAAGAAGUUCUUAUUGUUUCGGCAGUGACACCUGAAUAUGGCUUAAAAUGUUUUUCUUGAUGUGGUUCACUCUGUUCUUAGGACCGAAACACAUAACCGCACACUUAUUAAUCAUCAUAUUAAUCACAGUUUCUUACAUUUAUUAAUUAUAUUUUGUUAUUUCUAAAUUACACAGUUUUAUCGUUUUCGUUUUUUGUUUUAUCUAUACCUACUUAUUCACUAAUUUUUUUAUAUACUUAAUCACAACAGUCAUCACAGUGUCUUGCAUAAACGCUACGUUACAAUUAGUUUUUGAUUAAUCAUUUGAAAUACACUAAUAAAAUCACAGGUUCAAGUUUAAAAUAAAAAAACACAAUAACAGUUAAAACAGUACAAUAAGUCUAAAUGUCUUAAUUAUAUUAAUAUACCUACCUUACAAAGUAUUAAUUAUAAUGACGCAUAUUGAUUGCAAGUUUUUACAUAUGAAUAUUUCCCUUAUUAAUUAUUCCCUUCUAUUACUAGAUCGGGUACUAAUAUUAUUUUAAAUUCUUAUUUAUCAUCACAAUCAUAAUCACAGUUUACUACAUAAAAGAUUAAAUUUAAGAAGAGGACAUAUGAAGGAGCAAUGUUAUGAGUAGGUUCAAAAAAAAGGUCCAUUAAGUAAAAAAGGGGUCUAUUGAUACACUUUUUUAUUUGACCCCAAAAUAGGGUUUAAGAUAAAAGUGUCCGAAUCGACCCCGUUUCUUUCCUUAUGAACAUUACACCUCAAGGCUUGUAAACUUUUGGCGAAUGCCCUUGCAUAUCAUAAUAAUUGCACGUGAGACCAGAAAAAUAUAAAUAUAAAAUUGCGCUUUUUACUAACUUAAAUAGUUCUUCAUGUUCUUCUCUUUCUUUUGUUCUUAAUAAUUAAACAGUCUUAAUCAAAUCUUCAAAGUCUUUCUUGUUACCUAUUUAUUCAUUGUUCGUAUCUGAUCUUACAUUUAAGGAUUCUAAAUCAUUCGUUACCGUAUUUUGCGUUAAUGAAAGGUCAUCAAUGGUAAUAAUCAUUUCUUUUUCUAUAUCAAUCAAAGCUUCUAAUACUUUCGUACGAAAUAAUAAUUUUUUAAAGGAACUCAAUUUUUUUACAGUUGGUAAUAAUGACUUAAAAAAAUUCAAGUCUUCGUCCAUAUUAUCUGCAGUGUUAUUCUUCACGCAAUUUAACAACUCUAAUUCGAAAUCAGUUGGCGAUUCGCACUUACGUUUCUUGGAAGAUCGUGUUUCUUUGGUAACGCUGGAGCUGGUGCUAGAUAUUUAGUCAGUGGACAUACCUUCGUCGAUAUUCAUCUGGCGUAUCAUACAGGACUAACCACGGUCAGAAAAAUAGUAACAGAAGUUUGUCAAAUUAUAAUUGAAAGGUUAAAGGAAGAAUGUAUACCAAAAUUUUCCCGUGCGCUAUGGGAAGAGACUGAAAAAGGUUUUUUAACGCAAGCCCAGUUUCCUAACUGCAUAGGUGCAAUAGACGGAAAACAUAUACGCAUUAUAAGACCUCCACAUAGUGGUUCCCUCUAUUACAACUAUAAGCAUUACUAUUCUAUUGUACUGCUUGCAAUGUGUAACGCCAACUAUGAGUUUACCUAUAUAAACGUGGGAGUGCAGGGUAAAGAAUCUGACUCCGCAAUUUUCACACAAAGCCGAUUGUACGAACAAAUCAACAAUGACUUAAUAGAUAUUCCUCCUGCCAAAGCAUUGCCCGUAAUACACAAUGAUAAACCAACAAACAUUGCUGCAACCGCAGCUUUGCCCUAUAUUAUUGUAGGAGAUGAAGCAUUUGGGUUAUCUAGCCAUGUCAUGCGGCCAUAUGCUCGAGCUCUCGAUUUAAACUACAAAAAAAAAAUAUUCAAUUAUAGGUUAACGAGAGCGCGACGUUAUAUUGAGUGUACAUUUGGUAUCAUGGCUAAUAAAUUUCGCAUACUCCAUCGUCCAUUGAACGUUGGAAAAGACAAAGCAAUUUGUUUUCUUAAAACAAUUUGUAUUUUGCAUAAUUUUAUAAGAUCAAGAAGUCAAAUUAAUGACUUUCAUGAUAUUGUCAUUAUACCAGACCAUAUACGUUCAGUUCGGGGGUUAAUUGGAAAUACCCACAGAGAUUCGUAUACAUUACGCGAUAACUUCGCAGAUUAUUUCGUUGCAGACGGACAGCUGUCAUGGCAAGAUCGCAGUAUUUAUUGAAGAUAGUUGGCUUUUUUAACCGACUUCAAAAAGGAGGAGGUUAUCAAUUCGUCGGA